rnacentral:lncRNA from 1 species
GAAGGAAGACCAAAGUGUGGGUGCUUCAGUGCUUCUUAGAAGAGGGAACAAAAUACUCACUGGAGGAAAUAUGGAGACCAAUUGUAGAGCAGAGUCAGAAGGAAAGGCCAUCCAGAGACUGUCCCACCUGGGGAUUAAUCUUAUAUGCAGUCACCAAACUUGGAUAAAAUUGUGGAUGCUGGGAAGUAUUUGUUGAAGGGAGUCUGAUAUGGCUGUCUUCUAAAAGGCUCUGCCAGAGCCUGACAAAUACAGAGACAGAUGCUCACAGCCAACUAUUGUACUAAGCAUGGGGGUUCCAAUGCAGGAGUUGGAGAAGGCACUGAAUGAAGCAUUUAUUGUAAAUAAAAGAUGGCUUUUCAGCCAAGUAUUGUUGAUUUACCUGAGGAAAAUCCAGAAGUGGCUUAUAAUGUCAUUAUUUUCCCUAGGAAUUUCAGAAUUUUGAACAGCCAUUACCAGACUUAGAUGACACUGAGGUCACUCAGCAGUUUAGCCUGAACCGGAGCGUAGUAGAAGAGAUAACCAUGAGAGAAGACAUUGAACACAUCAGUAACCUACAGGAAAAUGAUUUCAGUGACUUGGAAUGGGCGACCAUGAAAUAAUGAGAAAAGGCAGUGCUUUUGCAUGUGAAGACAUGUUAGUGAGCACCAGUGCUUCUGACUUCCUCCUAGAGUCUGAACAGAGCACUAGCAAAUUAAAUGAAAAGAUUAAUUUUUAGAGUAUGAAGACCAGUACAAAGAUGAUAAUUUUGGAGAAGGAAAUGAUGGCAGUAUAUUAGAUGACAAACUUAGAAUUAAUAAUGAUGGUGGCAUCCUUGAUGAUCCCCCUGCCUUGUCUGAGGUCAUGUUGCUAAAGCAGCCUGCACAUGAUGACAUGGAUGAAGAUGACAAUGGCUCAUUGGGUGGGGCCUAACACUGUGAAUCCUGUUGAACUGAUGCCAACUAUGACUGAUCAGUCAAACUGGUCCCAACUGAGGAAGAAGCAUUUGCAUUGGAGCUCAUUGACAUAACUGUCAAAGAAACAAAAAUCAAGGGGAAGCUGAUUGUUGAGGGUGUCAAAGAAUUGGAUAGUAAGACAAUUAGAGCCCAAAUUAGUGAUGAUUCUGUUAUUGUUACAACUAUGGACCUGGCUCUGCCUACCAAGAAGCUAAUGCUGUGGAAAGAGAAGGGAGGAAUGGAGAAGCUUUUCUCUGUACCAGCACAGCAAUUAAGGAAUAACUAACUACUGAAGCUCUUUACACACUACCUUACUCCACUUGUACCAGAAGACCUUAGGAAAAUAAGGAAAGUAGGGAGAGGGAGAAAAUCUGGAUGAGUUCCUCUAAUAGUUUGAGAAUCCAGGGGUUUCAAGAGAGGAGCAACAACCACAGCAGCAGCAGCAGCCACCACAGGGACAUGUCAUUGAUGAGCCCACUAUAGAAGAGCCAAGCUACUUUCAGGAAUCAGUGGUGGGGGCCAGAAGAACAAAGAUAGAAGAGUCAGCCAUGCCCCCAACAUCCCCUCAAGGAUUUAAGCAAAAAGUCUGGCAUGUAGACCCAGAGCCUCUAAUACCUCUUCAGCAGGCAGAACAAAUGGAAAUUCUACCAGCAGAAUUUCCUCCAGAAGAGACUCUAAAUAUCUGUCAGCUGAUAGCAGAAUUAGAGCUUCUACCACAAAAGGAGAAGGAUAAAGAAAAGGAGAAGGAAGAGGAAGAGUAUAAAGAUGCUUCAGGGGGUGAUCAGGAUCAAGAAGAAAGGAGAUGGAACAAAAGGACUCAGCAGAUGCUUCAUGGUCUUCAGCAAGCUCUUGCUAAAACUGGAUAAGUCUAUCAAUUUGCUUAAGCUAUGUUGAAACAGAAACUGAAAGCAGGCAGUAGCAAAGUUCUACAGAUUUUUCAUUCUUACCAAACA